rnacentral:rRNA from 1 species
GACGUAGGGCGCGAGCGUUGUCCGGAUUUAUUGGGCGUAAAGAGCUCGUAGGCGGCUUGUUGCGUCAGCUGUGAAAAACCCGCAGCUCAACUGUGGGCUUGCAGCUGAUACGGGCAGGCUUGAGUUCGGUAGGGGAGACUGGAAUUCCUGGUGUAGCGGUGAAAAUGCGCAGAUAUCAGGAGGGAACACCCGGUGGCGAAGGCGGGUCUCUGGGCCGUAAACUGACGCUGAGGGAGCGAAAGCAUGGGGAGCGAACAGG